AGUGAACGCUGGCGGUAGGCCUAACACAUGCAAGUCGAACGGCAGCACAGUAAGAGCUUGCUCUUACGGGUGGCGAGUGGCGGACGGGUGAGGAAUACAUCGGAAUCUACUUUUUCGUGGGGGAUAACGUAGGGAAGCUUACGCUAAUACCGCAUACGACCUACGGGUGAAAGCAGGGGAUCUUCGGACCUUGCGCGAUUGAAUGAGCCGAUGUCGGAUUAGCCAGUUGGCGGGGUAAAGGCCCACCAAGGCGACGAUCCGUAGCUGGUCUGAGAGGAUGAUCAGCCACACUGGAACUGAGACACGGUCCAGACUCCUACGGGAGGCAGCAGUGGGGAAUAUUGGACAAUGGGCGCAAGCCUGAUCCAGCCAUACCGCGUGGGUGAAGAAGGCCUUCGGGUUGUAAAGCCCUUUUGUUGGGAAAGAAAAGCAGCAGGUUAAUACCCCGCUGUUCUGACGGUACCCAAAGAAUAAGCACCGGCUAACUUCGUG
rnacentral:rRNA from 1 species